GGUUAAGCGACUAAGCGUACACGGUGGAUGCCCUGGCAGUCAGAGGCGAUGAAGGACGUGCUAAUCUGCGAUAAGCGUCGGUGAGGUGAUAUGAACCGUUAUAACCGGCGAUUUCCGAAUGGGGAAACCCAGUGUGUUUCGACACACUAUCAUUAACUGAAUCCAUAGGUUAAUGAGGCGAACCGGGGGAACUGAAACAUCUAAGUACCCCGAGGAAAAGAAAUCAACCGAGAUUCCCCCAGUAGCGGCGAGCGAACGGGGAGGAGCCCAGAGCCUGAAUCAGUGUGUGUGUUAGUGGAAGCGUCUGGAAAGGCGUGCGAUACAGGGUGACAGCCCCGUACACAAAAAUGCACAUAUUGUGAGCUCGAUGAGUAGGGCGGGACACGUGGUAUCCUGUCUGAAUAUGGGGGGACCAUCCUCCAAGGCUAAAUACUCCUGACUGACCGAUAGUGAACCAGUACCGUGAGGGAAAGGCGAAAAGAACCCCGGCGAGGGGAGUGAAAAAGAACCUGAAACCGUGUACGUACAAGCAGUGGGAGCCUCUUAAUGGGGUGACUGCGUACCUUUUGUAUAAUGGGUCAGCGACUUAUAUUCUGUAGCAAGGUUAACCGAAUAGGGGAGCCGAAGGGAAACCGAGUCUUAACUGGGCGUUAAGUUGCAGGGUAUAGACCCGAAACCCGGUGAUCUAGCCAUGGGCAGGUUGAAGGUUGGGUAACACUAACUGGAGGACCGAACCGACUAAUGUUGAAAAAUUAGCGGAUGACUUGUGGCUGGGGGUGAAAGGCCAAUCAAACCGGGAGAUAGCUGGUUCUCCCCGAAAGCUAUUUAGGUAGCGCCUCGUGAAUUCAUCUCCGGGGGUAGAGCACUGUUUCGGCAAGGGGGUCAUCCCGACUUACCAACCCGAUGCAAACUGCGAAUACCGGAGAAUGUUAUCACGGGAGACACACGGCGGGUGCUAACGUCCGUCGUGAAGAGGGAAACAACCCAGACCGCCAGCUAAGGUCCCAAAGUCAUGGUUAAGUGGGAAACGAUGUGGGAAGGCCCAGACAGCCAGGAUGUUGGCUUAGAAGCAGCCAUCAUUUAAAGAAAGCGUAAUAGCUCACUGGUCGAGUCGGCCUGCGCGGAAGAUGUAACGGGGCUAAACCAUGCACCGAAGCUGCGGCAGCGACACUAUGUGUUGUUGGGUAGGGGAGCGUUCUGUAAGCCUGUGAAGGUGGCCUGUGAGGGUUGCUGGAGGUAUCAGAAGUGCGAAUGCUGACAUAAGUAACGAUAAAGCGGGUGAAAAGCCCGCUCGCCGGAAGACCAAGGGUUCCUGUCCAACGUUAAUCGGGGCAGGGUGAGUCGACCCCUAAGGCGAGGCCGAAAGGCGUAGUCGAUGGGAAACAGGUUAAUAUUCCUGUACUUGGUGUUACUGCGAAGGGGGGACGGAGAAGGCUAUGUUGGCCGGGCGACGGUUGUCCCGGUUUAAGCGUGUAGGCUGGUUUUCCAGGCAAAUCCGGAAAACCAAGGCUGAGGCGUGAUGACGAGGCACUACGGUGCUGAAGCGACAAAUGCCCUGCUUCCAGGAAAAGCCUCUAAGCAUCAGGUAACAUCAAAUCGUACCCAAAACCGACACAGGUGGUCAGGUAGAGAAUACCAAGGCGCUUGAGAGAACUCGGGUGAAGGAACUAGGCAAAAUGGUGCCGUAACUUCGGGAGAAGGCACGCUGAUAUGUAGGUGAAGCGACUUGCUCGUGGAGCUGAAAUCAGUCGAAGAUACCAGCUGGCUGCAACUGUUUAUUAAAAACACAGCACUGUGCAAACACGAAAGUGGACGUAUACGGUGUGACGCCUGCCCGGUGCCGGAAGGUUAAUUGAUGGGGUUAGCGGUAACGCGAAGCUCUUGAUCGAAGCCCCGGUAAACGGCGGCCGUAACUAUAACGGUCCUAAGGUAGCGAAAUUCCUUGUCGGGUAAGUUCCGACCUGCACGAAUGGCGUAAUGAUGGCCAGGCUGUCUCCACCCGAGACUCAGUGAAAUUGAACUCGCUGUGAAGAUGCAGUGUACCCGCGGCAAGACGGAAAGACCCCGUGAACCUUUACUAUAGCUUGACACUGAACAUUGAGC
rnacentral:rRNA from 1 species